rnacentral:rRNA from 1 species
GAUGAACGCUGGCGGCGUGCUUAACACAUGCAAGUCGAACGGUGAAGCAGGAGCUUGCUCUUGUGGAUCAGUGGCGAACGGGUGAGUAACACGUGAGCAACCUGCCCCUGACUCUGGAGUAAGCGCUGGAAACGGCGUCUAAUACUGGAUAUGUGAUGUGAACGCAUGGUCUGCAUCUGGAAAGAAUUUCGGUUGGGGAUGGGCUCGCGGCCUAUAAGCUUGUUGGUGGGGUAAUGGCUCACGAAGGGGUCGACGGGUACCCGGCCUGAGAGGGUGACCGGCCACACUAGGACUGAGACACGGCCCAGACUCCUACGGGAGGCAGCAGUGGGGAAUAUUGCACAAUGGGCGGAAGCCUGAUGAAGCAACGCCGCGUGAGGGAUGACGGCCUUCGGGUUGUAAACCUCUUUUAGCAGAGAAGAAGCGAAAGUGACGGUACCUGCAGAAAAAGCACCGGCUAACUACGUGCCAGCCGCCGCCGUAA